UCACGAUUUGUUUGUUGGUCACAUAAGUCACAGAUCACAAGUAUUAUAAGUCACAUAUUAUUAUUUUUAGGUCACACACUAUUCUCGGUCAUAAUUUAUCAUUUUUAGUGGUCACAUAUUGUUUAUUGAUCACAGGUUAACCAAUUUAAUGGUCACGAUCAAUCAAAUAAUACGUGACCACCACCAAACCACCACUCCCUUCA
rnacentral:lncRNA from 1 species